UUUUAAUAAAAAAAUCGAUUUUAUGUACGUCCAUAAAAAAAUCUGUCAUUAAAAUUUGAUAUGGUAAAAAUGUGACAUAGAUAUACAUAACCGAAUAUAGCGUAAGAAUAAUGAGAUCUUAAUUAUCGAUUACAUUGAAUAAUAUUACGAAUUGGUAAUAUUGUAGUGGCCCGAGAUAUUCUUCGACGUUCGCAACAAAGUUUUAUCGAGACUGAGGCACACAGGGCAUACUAUCGCGAAUUUAUGGAAUACAAACACGACGUCUGCAAAUCUUAUACGGAUAUCGGUUACAAAAAUAGUAACUUUUCUCGCAAAUGUAUUCCCUCGGAACUGGAAUAACCAAUAACAUCCUGGGUCUCGAGAAAAAAAAAAUGAAAAGAAAACAUCGGAUCUAAGAUCAGGACCACAGGUGUGAUAAACCCUGACGGAAAACAAUCUCCUGACUUCCGUUUACAAUCGUAAAAACUCGACUGGAUUCAUUCGACGGGAAAACGACAACGUCUUAUACACGCAAGUAUCCUGUUUUACCUCUCGUAACAAUAAACUCCAACGUAAUUUCGGAAACGUCACAAAGCGGAAUUAGUGGAAGAAAGAGUGGAUGCGCGAAUAGAGUCUCUUUCAGACGAUGCUUUAAACCGAUGAAGGACAAGCGCGGAGAGAGGCGGAAGGCUUUAAACCGAUGAUAAAGACAAUGUCGAGAAGCAGACGCGAUGGCAGAAGAAAACGAUUCGAAGGGAACGAUCGUCGAAAUGGUUUUCCAUCCGUCUCGAAUCUGCCUCCAAUGAGUUUUCCUCUUUUCUGGCGGAAAUCACCGGGCGGCUUCCUGGAAAGCUUCAGAACGAUUGUAACUGGAACUGGCCAAACGAAAUCCCUCGAAAUUCGCACUUUGUCUCGAUAAAAGGAUUCGUGAAAUUGCAACGAACAGACCACGGUAUCGAUUCAGUCCACCGCUUCGGUAAAGAUACGGUCUUCCGUUAUUCCUCUUACUCGAACAGAGUAACAUGAUUCUGUCAAAGUCCAGUCCAUUUUCAUCAAUAUCAAAAAAGAACCGUAAAAUCUAUUGCCCGUAUUUAACCAUUUAUCCAUAUUACUUGAAUUAAUUUUGCACUUGAUGCAUUUCACGUUAAAUUCGCUGUUCUAUUUCAAUUCAUAAUUUCGUAUCGACAUUGUCUUCCAAUCUUAAUUCAUUCGCAAUAUUACCGAAUGUGUCUUUCACAGCGUCAAAAUUAGACGGUGAAAUUCAGCAAGAAAUUCGUGACAAGAAUACGGACCAUUGUGUAAUUUCUUCGUACGAAACGUACCGAAAGGAUACAGUAAUUCAGAACGGACGGUAAUUUAACGUUAAAUGCCCACGACGCAGGAAUACGAGCUACGGUCACGAGCAAACGGCUCUUUAUUCGCGAUUGUUCAACGUGUCGCGAUUCGCACGGACUAAUUACGCGAACGUGCACUGUUCGUUCCUUCCCCUCCUCCGCCUAGAACGUGGAUGGGCGUGUGUUUGCGGGGAGCCUCAAACCAGAGAGACGACGCACGCGACCGACCCUCCCGCAAUCUGCCAGGAUCAAUCGAUCCUCGAUUCUUGCGCCGCGGCCAGAAUUGUCUCUGCCGGGAAAUCAAGGCGGCUUUGUGUUUUGUACUCGAGGAUCGAUCCCCCGCGCCAAACUGUGCGACUCCGUCCGGAUAAAUUGCGAGCGUAUAAAUGCUCCAUUCGGCAACGACGACUCAUUGUCUGCGCGAGCGUUUGCUUUCACCCGGACGCUUCAAGCACCGGCAUCAUCAUCUCGAGGACGCGAUUGCGGACGAAAUCAAUUAGCGGGGAAUGCGGGAUUAUUCCAAUUCACUCGCUUUAUACGGUGGGAUUGUACGAUUAUACGGAAUUUAUCUUGCGGGAAGAAAGCGCUGCCAACGCUUACAAUUGAUAAUUGGUAAUUCUAAAUUAUAGGUAUACAAAUAAUGAUUUUCCGUUCAUAAAAUCAAUUAGUUUUUUUUUUAAUCCGUGAAGCUCCCAAAAUUUAUUUCUUCAUUUUAUUUAGCUAAAAUUCCUAAAACGCGUCUUUCGUUUGCCUUUGUUACUCGCGUUACGAUUGUUACUUUUUAAUACUUCAAGGUUGCAUAUAUUAGGUACCGCAUUUCCCAAAAUGUUUCCCCGAGAGACGCCGAAAUAAUACACAUCAAAUAUAUACGUACAAUCUGAACGUGUCUGUGUUUAAGCAAGAAGUUUCCCAGCAGCAGUAAGCAGCAGCUGGAGUGUUUCUCGUUACAGAGAUAAUCUCUCGGGUACAAAUGAAUCGCUCGAGAGGAGGAGAGAGCCGGGUGUUCGCGCUGGCUGAUGUGCCAGGUCCAUCCUCUAGUGCCCACGCGACUUCGUGGGGGAGAUAGAAACAAGGAAAACGCAGAAAAGUCGAAUAGGUCUGCUCGCGAAUGCGAAUCCGUUCGUGGAACCUCCGGGCGUCGCCACGUCGCUUAUAAAUAGCCACUGCAUUAAAGAGAACUCCGUCGAGUGGAUGAACCGGAGGACUGGAACGAUGAGAGGGCGAGAAAUAUAAAAACAUAAGCACGAUACUCUUCGCGAUCUAUUUUCGAUGGACGUUGCACGGUUUUCGCGCGAUUUCGCAGUACCAGGUCCUUGAAUCCGCGCAGCGAAACAGCGUUAUUUUAAUCCUUCCACUGUGGAAAAGCAUACUAAAAUCACUCUACGAAAUAAUCUUUCUAUUACGUUGAAAUUAUUUAAUAAAGUUUUUACCGUUGUGUUUUACCAUUUUAUCUCUCGAAAUACGUACGUCAAUAUUACUCGACGAGAAAUAUGAAGAUAUUUAUUUGCAUAAAAUUAAAUUUAGUAAUCGACGAUUUUAUUAUUCUCUUGAUAAUGGAAGAGUUUAAUGAUACAUGUUACAUUUAAUGUUGAAAUAUUGAUAAAAAGAUGUCGAGUGCCUAAAGGUUUGUGUACAAAAUCGCGUUUCAGGGUGUAAUCCAGUUAAUAAAAUAAUAAACGGUCGUCUCUGCAUUCGGAAAA